rnacentral:rRNA from 1 species
AAGCAGGGGAUCGUAAGACCUUAUGCUUUUGGAGUGGCCGAUGUCUGAUUAGCUAGUUGGUAGGGUAAAGGCCUACCAAGGCGACGAUCAGUAGUUGGUCUGAGAGGACGACCAGCCACACUGGGACUGAGACACGGCCCAGACUCCUACGGGAGGCAGCAGUGGGGAAUUUUGGACAAUGGGCGCAAGCCUGAUCCAGCAAUGCCGCGUGAGUGAAGAAGGCCUUCGGGUUGUAAAGCUCUUUCAGUUGGGAAGAAAAGAUUGUGACGAAUAAUCACAAUUCAUGACGGUACCGAAAGAAGAAGCACCGGCUAACUACGUGCCAGCAGCCGCGGUAAUACGUAGGGUGCAAGCGUUAAUCGGAAUUACUGGGCGUAAAGGGUGCGCAGGCGGUUCUGUAAGUCAGAUGUGAAAUCCCCGGGCUUAACCUGGGAACUGCGUUUGAAACUACAAGGCUAGA